rnacentral:rRNA from 1 species
CUAACUACGUGCCAGCAGCCGCGGUAAAACGUAGGUCACAAGCGUUGUCCGGAAUUACUGGGUGUAAAGGGAGCGCAGGCGGGAAGACAAGUUGGAAGUGAAAUCCAUGGGCUCAACCCAUGAACUGCUUUCAAAACUGUUUUUCUUGAGUAGUGCAGAGGUAGGCGGAAUUCCCGGUGUAGCGGUGGAAUGCGUAGAUAUCGGGAGGAACACCAGUGGCGAAGGCGGCCUACUGGGCACCAACUGACGCUGAGGCUCGAAAGUGUGGGUAGCAAACAGGAUUAGAUACCCUGGUAGUCCACACUGUAAACGAUGAUUACUAGGUGUUGGAGGAUUGACCCCUUCAGUGCCGCAGUUAACACAAUAAGUAAUCCACCUGGGGAGUACGACCGCAAGGUUGAAACUCAAAGGAAUUGACGGGGGCCCGCACAAGCAGUGGAGUAUGUGGUUUAAUUCGACGCAACGCGAAGAACCUUACCAAGUCUUGACAUCCUGCGACGCACAUAGAAAUAUGUGUUUCCUUCGGGACGCAGAGACAGGUGGUGCAUGGUUGUCGUCAGCUCGUGUCGUGAGAUGUUGGGUUAAGUCCCGCAACGAGCGCAACCCUUAUGGUCAGUUACUACGCAAGAGGACUCUGGCCAGACUGC